UACGUAGGGUCCAAGCGUUAAUCGGAAUUACUGGGCGUAAAGCGCGCGCAGGCGGCCUUUUAAGUCUGAUGUGAAAGCCCACGGCUCAACCGUGGAAGGUCAUUGGAAACUGAAAGGCUUGAGUACAGAAGAGGAAAGCGGAAUUCCACGUGUAGCGGUGAAAUGCGUAGAGAUGUGGAGGAACACCAGUGGCGAAGGCGACUACCUGGCCUGUUCUUGACGCUGAGGCGCGAAAGCUAGGGGAGCAAACGGG
rnacentral:rRNA from 1 species